rnacentral:lncRNA from 1 species
UAUUUUGCAAGCCGAAUCAAACCACAUUAUGUUAGAACUCAAACUUCAUUUAACCCAAACAUAUUAUGUUUGAACCUUAUCAAAUGAUUUUCUUUUUCUCACAUUUAACAUUUUAAUUUCAACCUUUUCAAAUCUCUCGUAUCAAUAUCGUGCCUUCUUAACUAGGUAUAUCUCGCCUCUUCUUCUUUUAUAUUCUUUAUUUUCAUCUUCUCACUUUUAUGAUACCGAUAUCUCUUCAAAUUUUAUUUUUAGCGUAU